rnacentral:lncRNA from 1 species
UGUAAGAAAUAGUUCUGUUUAUUGAUUAGAAGAUGGUAUAAAAUUACAGCAAUUUGCAGGCAUCCUGGGCUUUCUGGGAGGGUCAUGCAGUGCUGGACUCAGGCAGGAGAUGGAGUGAGGCAUGGGUCACUGGCACUGGCCCCCUUCCUGCGCCACUAGCGCAGAUGCUAGCACGAGAGGGCACUACUGUCCUUGCCUCUGGAAAUGGAGCACAUGGGCAGUUUGGGUCAUCAGACAAUGCCAUGCUUAGUUCAGUCCUAUCCUACAUAUGUUAGAUGCUGGCGCUCCCAAUCUAGUCAGGGUAGAUUCUGACUGUGCUGUACAACACUCAUUCUUCCCACCAAAGACAGGGAAAGAGGCACAUUGGUUCGGGAGGCCAGAGGAUGGUGCGUGUUUGGCUCAGGUCAUCUUGCUUCCAGAUACAUCAAGGUCUGCUGGACUUGGAGGCAGUGGCCUGGGACACGCAAGCAGAAAAGUGUGCACUACUGUUUAAGCUCAAGCAGAGGGACCUUCCACAGGGCAGCAGUGUGAAGAGAUGAGCAUGCUUCCAAAAGAAACCCGACUUCAUCUUGUCUCUCUCGAGAAGAGGGAGGAGGAAGAGCUGGCAAUCAGAGACUGAGCCACAUGGUCCUGGGUUCCAUAGUAUGUCUUCACAGAGAAUUCUUCCAAAGUGUAAAAGGUGUUUCUGUCCCAAGAGUUAGUGUGUAAAAUCAGCAGGAGGGCCGAUCAAGGUGCUCAGUUGGCUGUUUAGUAUGUCUC